CCUACGGGAGGCAGCAGUAGGGAAUCUUCCACAAUGGGCGAAAGCCUGAUGGAGCAACGCCGCGUGGGUGAAGAAGGUCUUCGGAUCGUAAAACCCUGUUGUUAGAGAAGAAAGUGCGUGAGAGUAACUGUUCACGUUUCGACGGUAUCUAACCAGAAAGCCACGGCUAACUACGUGCCCGCAGCCGCGGUAAUACGUAGGGGGCAAGCGUUAUCCGGAUUUAUUGGGCGUAAAGGGAACGCGGGCGGUCUUUUAAGUCUGAGGUGAAAGCCUUCGGCUUAACCGGAGUAGUGCAUUGUAAACUGGGAGACUUGAGUGCAGAAGAGGAGAGUGGAACUCCAUGUGUAGCGGUGAAAUGCGUAGAUAUAUGGAAGAACACCAGUGGCGAAGGCGGCUCUCUGGUCUGUAACUGACGCUGAGGUUCGAAAGCGUGGGUAGCAAACAGGAUUAGAUACCCGAGUAGUC
rnacentral:rRNA from 1 species